rnacentral:rRNA from 1 species
CAGUAGCCGCGGGAAUACGGAGGGUGCAAGCGUUAUCCGGAUUUAUUGGGUUUAAAGGGUCCGUAGGCGGAUCUGUAAGUCAGUGGUGAAAUCUCACAGCUUAACUGUGAAACUGCCAUUGAUACUGCAGGUCUUGAGUAAAUUUGAAGUGGCUGGAAUAAGUAGUGUAGCGGUGAAAUGCAUAGAUAUUACUUAGAACACCAAUUGCGAAGGCAGGUCACUAAGAUUUAACUGACGCUGAUGGACGAAAGCGUGGGGAGCGAACAGGAUUAGAUACCCGAGUAGUCCCUGUCUCUUAUAC